GACGAACGCUGGCGGCGGGCUUAACACAUGCAAGUCGAACGGAAGGGCCCUGCUUUUUUGGGUUGCCGGGGUGGCAAAGGGGUGAGGAACAGGUGAGUAACGUGCCCUUGUUUUUGGGUGAACUUAAGGAAAGGGGGGUUAAUACCGGAUAGGAGCCCCUGUUCCAGUGUGGGGGUGGGAUAUUUGGUGCUGUCGGGGAUGGACGCGCGGGUGUCCGGCUUGUUGGUUGGGUAGGGGAUUGCCAAGGCUUUGACGGGUACCCGGCUUGUGUGGGUGAACGGCCACAUUGGGCCUGAGAUACGGACCAGACUCGUACGGGAGGCAGCAGUGGGGAAUAUUGCACAAUGGGAGGAAGCCUGAUGAAGAGGCGCCGCGUGCGGGAUGACGGCCUUCGGGUUGUAAACCGCUUUAGCCUGUGACGAAGCGUGAGUGACGGUAAUGGGUAAAGAAGCACCGGCUAACUACGUG
rnacentral:rRNA from 1 species